CCCUUCUGGAGUUUGGCAGAGGGGGGUGGAAUUCCACGUGUAGCAGUGAAAUGCGUAAAGAUGUGGAGGAACACCAAUGGCGAAGGCAGCCCCCUGGGUCGAUACUGACGCUCAUGCACGAAAGCGUGGGUAGCAAACAGGAUUAGAUACCCCGGUAGUCCACGCCCUAAACGAUGUCAACUAGGUGUUGGGAGGGUAAAACCUUUUAGUGCCGUAGCUAAC
rnacentral:rRNA from 1 species